UGGGGAAUUUGGACAAUGGGCGAAAGCCUGAUCCAGCAAUGCCGCGUGUGUGAAGAAGGCCUUCGGGUUGUAAAGCACUUUUGCCCGGGAAAGAAAUCCUUGGCUCUAAUACAGUCGGGGGGAUGACGGUACCGGAAGAAUAAGCACCGGCUAACUACGUGCCAGCAGCCGCGGUAAUACGUAGGGUGCAAGCGUUAAUCGGAAUUACUGGGCGUAAAGCGUGCGCAGGCGGUUUGCUAAGACCGAUGUGAAAUCCCCGGGCUCAACCUGGGAACUGCAUUGGUGACUGGGCAGGCUAGAGUAUGGCAGAGGGGGGUAGAAUUCCACGUGUAGCAGUGAAAUGCGUAGAGAUGUGGAGGAAUACCGAUGGCGAAGGCAGCCCCCUGGGCAAGUACUGACGCUCAUGCACGAAAGCGUGGGGAGCAAAACAGGAUUAGAUACCCCUGGUAGUCCACGCCCUAAANGAUGUCAACUAGUUGUUGGGGGAUUCAUUUCCUUAGUAACGUAGCUAACGCGUGAAGUUGACCGCCU
rnacentral:rRNA from 1 species